UCUGGCUAUUCUUUUCCAAGCUGAAAAACAAAAAGGCUAUUCUUUUGAGCAAGCAAUCUCUUGUAAAAUCCACUUUGUUGCUUCUACUUGAAUCAUAGAGCAAGAUUGCCUCGUUUGCUAGACUUUGGAAAUAAAUCAAGGACCAUUGUAUGUGCUACUAAAUAAUGUCUGUGAUAUCACACACCCAGCAAAGAUGCUUUCUUUUUCAGUUGCCUUGCUGUCUAACUUGCUCCAUAUACUAAUGUGGUUCUGUGAUGAUUGUGGGAGAUGUUGAUAUUUGGGAAUGCUGCCGAUCAGCUUUCUGGUUUCAGAAAUUGCACCAAAGACUUGAGGUUUUAGCGGAAUUGAUAAGAGGAAAGCCAACACAAGAGCCCUUGCUUUGAUGCACGUUAUAAUAGCCCGCAAAACCCAGCAUGGGCAGCCUUGAGAGCAGACCACUACUCUGAGGAGUACUCAGUUCUUUGGGGCUGAUUAUGGCUUAUUGAGGCAGAAAACUUGUUCGAGUUCAAACUCUUUGAAUUCCUUGUUCACUCAAUAGUGUGUCAAAAAAGAGCAUUCAAUGUUUCAUGUCACAAAAUCACCGCCGGCCUAAAUUGUUCCUAUUUCUCUUUUGCAUAUGGUGUGCAAGAAAAUUUUCAGCCCUCUUCCGCAGCACUCCAAUGCUUUGAUAUGGGUAACAUUGCCAUAACAGCCUGCAUUAAGGAACUUAUAUUUUAUUCUUCUUUUCAGUGUACAUAAAAAUCCCAGCUUAGUCCUUUUUUGUCUUUUAGAUCCUUUGAACUCUUUCAAGCUACGUUUCAAGACUUUCUGGGCUUUGACGGGGCUGGGCAUUCACUGUAAAAGCAGUCAAUGCCUCAGUGAGACCACAAGCAAAACUGUGAGUGUCUUAAGCAGGGACCACACAACUCUUAAGCAUUGCUGGGAAAAUGAAGUCCUUGGUAACUCAUCUUUUUGGAGACUGAAGUCACCAAAACCUCCCGUGAGGAAGCACCACCAUAUCAUUAUUUCUUUCAGCCAGACAGCGGGAGCAGACCUGAGACCAGAUCCGAAAAAUGGACUUGGCCAAUUGGAUUCUUUUGGGGCAUUAAACAAGUUUCUGGUGAGAAGGUCAGACAGAACAGGAUGCAUUAAGAGAUGUCUUGAGGUAGAGAAAAGCCACGAUGGGCCAUGUGCUGGCUGAAGAAAGCCAAGGAAGCUGGCUGAUAGAGAGGAGAGUGAGCCACUGACCAGCAUGAAUCAGAGAUGGAUCAUGAAGACCUGCGAGAAACGUGAGUUGUUCCCUAGAGCCCUCAGGAAUUAUCCCCAGUGAAGCCUGUUCCAGUUCUUGGACUCCUUUAAGAUCACUAUCUUUGUUGUUACUCCAAUAUAUCCUUACAUUAACUUACUUGUCAUCUCCCCAACGUUUCCUUGAGUCAGUUUUCAGUGAUGUUCUGCUCCUUGCAAUCAAAUCAGCUAGACAUAAACCCCUCUUAGAAAAACAACCAACACUCUUCCUUCCCUCGAGGAAACAACCAACAACAUUCCUGGGUGUCUAUUACAAAGCAGGGUUGCGUUUAUCUCUACCGUGAGGGGGAACAUAGGUGGUUGGCAGGAACCACCUUUUUUUUUUUUUGCUCUGCUGAUUUGUUCCUCUUUAAUGUAACCAUGGUGGAGAUCAGAUCAUCUGAACCCAUAGUCCUCAACUAGCC
rnacentral:lncRNA from 1 species